rnacentral:rRNA from 1 species
CCUACGUGCGGCAGCAGUAGGGAAUAUUGCUCAAUGGGGGAAACCCUUAAGCCGCAACGCCGCGUGGAGGAUGAAGGUUUUCGGAUUGUAAACUCCUUUUGUUAGAGAAGAUAAUGACGGUAUCUAACGAAUAAGCACCGGCUAACUCCGUGCCAGCAGCCGCGGUACUACGGAUGGUGCAAGCGUUACUCGGAAUCACUGGGCGUAAAGAGCGCGUAGGCGGGAUAGCAAGUCAGAUGUGAAAUCCUAUGGCUUAACCAUAGAACUGCAUUUGAAAUUGUUAUUCUAGAGUAUGGGAGAGGUAGGUGGAAUUCUUGGUGUAGGGGUAAAAUCCGUAGAGAUCAAGAGGAAUACUCAUUGCGAAGGCGACCUGCUAGAACAUAACUGACGCUGAUGCGCGAAAGCGUGGGGAGCAAACAGGAUUAGAUACCCGAGUAGUC